UCCACUAUACCACUCUUACACAAUCUCAUCUGAUUUUGGUAGCUAAGCAGAGUAAGUUCUUGUUGGUACUUGGAUGAGAACCCACCAGGUAAUGUCAGGGGUCUCUAGAU
rnacentral:rRNA from 1 species